rnacentral:lncRNA from 1 species
UGGAAGUGAAAUAGUGAAUUGAAAAUAAAAUGUGAAAUAUGUUGCAAAUAUAUGAAAUAUAUGAGUUAUAUACUCAUGAAAUGACUAUGGAAUGAAUAUUGCAAUUGUAUAAUGAAAUAUGAAAUAAAUUGUGAAAAACUAUUUAUAUAACAAGUAUGAGAAUUGAGAUAUUUGUGAAACAAAUGAAAUAUGAUAUGGUUGUUGUAAUAAUUAAAUAUUAAUAUGUAUUUAUAUUUCAAUUGUAUAAUUAUAAUUUCUUAUCUUUAAAUAUUCGGAUUAUAGAAAUACCACUGAGUUUAUAUUCAGC